rnacentral:tRNA from 1 species
AGUUAAUGAGCUUGAUAAAGUUUAUAUUUUGAAAAUAUAAGAUAGAGAAAUAUCUCUAUUAACUU